AGAGUUUGAUCCUGGCUCAGGAUGAACGCUGGCGGCGUGCCUAAUACAUGCAAGUCGAGCAACCACUUCGGUGGUGAGCGGCGAACGGGUGAGUAACACGUAGGUUAUCUGCCCAUCAGAGGGGACAACGAUUGGAAACGAUCGCUAAUACCGGAUAGGACGAAAGUUUAAAGGUGCUUCGGCACCGCUGAUGGAUGAGCCUGCGGCGCAUUAGCUAGUUGGUAGGGUAAAGGCCUACCAGGCGACGAUGCGUAGCCGACCUGAGAGGGUGAACGGCCACACUGGGACUGAGACACGGCCAGACUCCUACGGGAGGCAGCAGUAGGGAAUCUUCGGCAAUGGGCGAAAGCCUGACCGAGCACGCCGCGUGAAUGAUGAAGGCCUUCGGGUUGUAAAAUUCUGUUAUAAGGGAAGAACGACUUAGUAGGAAAUGGCUAAAGUGUGACGGUACCUUAUGAGAAAGCCACGGCUAACUACGUGCAGCAGCCGCGGUAAUACGUAGGUGGCAAGCGUUAUCCGGAAUUAUUGGGCGUAAAGAGCCGCAGGUGGUUGAUUAAGUCUGAUGUGAAAGCCCACGGCUUAACCGUGGAGGGUCAUUGGAACUGGUCGACUUGAGUGC
rnacentral:rRNA from 1 species